GGUUUCGUGGCGCAGUUGGUUAGCGCGUCUCCUUAACAGUUUCCAUCUGCUUUCGGAGGAGGUCGCCGGUUCGAACCCGGCUGAAAUCA